rnacentral:rRNA from 1 species
UACGUAGGGUGCAAGCGUUGUCCGGAAUUAUUGGGCGUAAAGAGCUCGUAGGCGGUCUGUCGCGUCGGAUGUGAAAAUCCAGGGCUCAACCCUGGACCUGCAUUCGAUACGGGCAGACUAGAGUUCGGUAGGGGAGACUGGAAUUCCUGGUGUAGCGGUGAAAUGCGCAGAUAUCAGGAGGAACACCGGUGGCGAAGGCGGGUCUCUGGGCCGAAACUGACGCUGAGGAGCGAAAGCGUGGGGAGCAAACAGG